UUUUUCAUUUUUCGUUUCUUGUUUUUUUUUAUUAAAUGGAGAGCGUCCUCUUUUACUAGUGGUCAGAGAGAGUUAUUGGAGAGAGGUGUCAUUUUUUUUCUUUUCCGAAAAUUGGGCCUCUCUUUUAUGAAGAGGAUCUCCUCUUUUUUAUUCUUUUUCUUUAAAACCAAUCUCUUUCUCAUGAGCUGUCACCAAAUCCUUUU
rnacentral:lncRNA from 1 species